GUAAAUGCUGUGAAGAGGACUAUUAGAUAGGAACCAGAGUCAGAGAACUGCCGGAUGGUGCGAGGCAGUCGAAGGAACUUAUUGAACUCGCCUUGGAGCUGCUACCUGAAAUCAUCAUGAGAAGUAGGAGUAGCCGGAAGCCAACCGUUAUAGUGGACAGAAUAUAAUAUAACACAUUUGUUAUACGUAUUCAGUGAGUGCAUAGCAUAGCUAUGAAGAAGAGUGGUAACGCGUGAGAUUAUGUCUUUCGUCUCUUUG
rnacentral:ncRNA from 1 species